AAAUAGAUACCCAGGUAGUCCACGCCGUAAACGAUGAAUACUAGGUGUUGGGGGGUCAAAAGACCUUCGGUGCCGUCGCAAACGCAUUAAGUAUUCCACCUGGGGAGUACGUUCGCAAGAAUGAAACUCAAAGGAAUUGACGGGGGACCCGCACAAGCGGUGGAGCAUGUGGUUUAAUUCGAAGCAACGCGAAGAACCUUACCAGGUCUUGACAUCCCUCUGACCGGACCUUAACCGGUCCUUUCCUUCGGGACAGAGGAGACAGGUGGUGCAUGGUUGUCGUCAGCUCGUGUCGUGAGAUGUUGGGUUAAGUCCCGCAACGAGCGCAACCCUUAUCCUUAGUAGCCAGCGGUUCGGCCGGGCACUCUAGGGAGACUGCCAGGGAUAACCUGGAGGAAGGCGGGGAUGACGUCAAAUCAUCAUGCCCCUUAUGAUCUGGGCUACACACGUGCUACAAUGGUGACUACAAAGGGAAGCAGCCUCGUGAGAGUGAGCAAAUCCCAAAAAGGUCAUCUCAGUUCGGAUUGUAGUCUGCAACUCGACUAC
rnacentral:rRNA from 1 species